CUACCUUGAGCUACGGGAUAACAGAGAGAAAUUUCUGCUAAUACCGUAUGUGGCCUUUGGGCGAAAGAUUUAUCGGCUUAAGAUGAGCCCGCGUUGGAUUAGCUGGUUGGUGGGGUAAAGGCCUACCAAGGCGACGAUCCAUAGCUGGUCUGAGAGGAUGAUCAGCCACACUGGGACUGAGACACGGCCCAGACUCCUACGGGAGGCAGCAGUGGGGAAUAUUGGACAAUGGGCGCAAGCCUGAUCCAGCCAUGCCGCGUGAGUGAAGAAGGCCUUAGGGUUGUAAAGCUCUUUCACCGGUGAAGAUAAUGACGGUAGCCGGAGAAGAAGCCCCGGCUAACUUCGUGCCAGCAGCCGCGGUAAUACGAAGGGGGCUAGCGUUGUUCGGAUUUACUGGGCGUAAAGCGCGCGUAGGCGGAUAGAUAAGUCAGAGGUGAAAUCCCGGGGCUCAACCCCGGAAUUGCCUUUGAUACUGUUUAUCUUGAGUGCAGAAGAGGUAAGUGGAAUUCCGAGUGUAGAGGUGAAAUUCGUAGAUAUUCGGAGGAACACCAGUGGCGAANGCGGCUUACUGGUCUGCAACUGACGCUGANGCGCGAAAGCGUGGGGNGCAAACAGGAUUAGAUACCCUG
rnacentral:rRNA from 2 species